AGUGAAGCGGGAUGAGCUCAAAUUUAAAAUCUGGCUGGUUUUCUAGUCCGAAUUGUAGUUUAAAGAAGCGUUUUCGGUAGCAGCCUGGGUAUAAAUCCUUUGGAACAGGGUAUCAUAGAGGGUGAGAAUCCCGUCUUUGACCUGGUGCAUGCUACUAUGUGAUACGUUUUCAAAGAGUCGAGUUGUUUGGGAAUGCAGCUCAAAAUGGGUGGUAAAUUUCAUCUAAGGCUAAAUAUUGGCGAGAGACCGAUAGCGAACAAGUACCGUGAGGGAAAGAUGAAAAGAACUUUGAAAAGAGAGUUAAACAGUGCGUGAAAUUGUUGAAAGGGAAACGUUUGACACCAGUCAUGCGAAUGAAAAAUCAGUUAAUGCUAGUGGAGAGUGGUACGGGUUCAGACCGCAAGGCUGGCCUUUGCUUCAUCUCUGCUGUCAUUGAUGCACUUUUUCAUUUGCAGGUCAACAUCAGUUUUCCCUGCUGGACAAAACUCCAAGAGAAGGUAGCAGCUUAGGCUGUGUUAUAGCUCUGGAGCGAUACAGUGGGGGGGACUGAGGAUUUCGCAGUGUGUGCUCUCGGGCAAGGCUGACUGGGUGCUAUCGGAUCGUUCGGUGUACAAUGCAUGCAUUUUGCGCCGUGUCUUUCUUAUACUCGCUCAGCUCAGCUCUUCCACACUUAGGAUGUUGACUUAAUGGUUUUAAACGACCCGUCUUGAAACACGGACCAAGGAGUCUAACAUAUAUGCAAGUGUUUGGGUGGCAAACCCAUACGCGUAAUGAAAGUGAACGUAGGUGCGAUCCGCAAGGUGCAGCAUCGACCGAUCUUGAUAUUUUUGGAUAGAUUUGAGUAAGAGCAUAUAUGCUGGGACCCGAAAGAUGGUGAACUAUGCCUGAAUAGGGUGAAGCCAGAGGAAACUCUGGUGGAGGCUCGUAGCGAUUCUGACGUGCAAAUCGAUCGUCAAAUUUGGGUAUAGGGGCGAAAGACUAAUCGAACCAUCUAGAGCUGGAUCCUGCCGAAGUUCCCUCAGGAUAGCAGAACUCG
rnacentral:rRNA from 1 species